UACGAAGGGUGCUAGCGUUGUUCGGAAUUACUGGGCGUAAAGCGCACGUAGGCGGACAUUUAAGUCAGGGGUGAAAUCCCGGGGCUCAACCCCGGAACUGCCUUUGAUACUGGGUGUCUGGAGUCCGGAAGAGGUGAGUGGAAUUCCGAGUGUAGAGGUGAAAUUCGUAGAUAUUCGGAGGAACACCAGUGGCGAAGGCGGCUCACUGGUCCGGUACUGACGCUGAGGUGCGAAAGCGUGGGGAGCAAACAGG
rnacentral:rRNA from 1 species